GACUAUCACUUACUACUGAUUUCUCAUUUUUUGUAUCAAGGACAGAUAUCAUAUACUGUGUGAUAUCAAUUAUUUGAAAUGUUUCGAGAAUUAUUUUAUGAUCUAGUACUUAUUCACAUUUUGUAAAUAUUCCUUGUAUAUCAAGUUUCUUUGCAAAUCGAUCUUAUUAAUUCUGUUGCUCUUUUCUUUAUUUCUGGUCUUUUUGGUAGAAAAAUUUCUAAUGGAAAUGUAGAAAAUCAGCCACAAUAUUUUUUGGUCAAUUUCAUUUUUUCAAUUCUGUUAGUUUUUGCCUAAUAAAUAUUAAAGAGAUGCUGUAAAAAGCACCUAAGCUCUUUAAAAUUUUUUUUUAAUGUUUAUUAUUUUUAAGAGACAGAGACAAAGCGCAAGUGGAGGAGGGCAGAGAGAGAAGAAGACAGAGAAUCUGAAGCAGGGUUCAGGCUCCGAGCUGCCAGCACAGAGCUUCAAAUGGGGCUCGAACUCAGGAACCUGGAGAUCAUGACCCGAGCUGAAGUGAGAUGCUUAACCAACUGAGUCACCCAGGCACCCAUGGGCUCAAGCGCCAUGUCGGGCUCUGUGUUGACACCUCAGACCCUGGAGCCUGCUUCAGAUUAUGUGUCUCCCCCUGUCUCUGCCCCUCUCCUGAUUGUGCUCUCUCUCUCUCUCUUUCAAAAAUAGAUUAAUUAAAAAAAGAAAAUAUUACAAAAAUAUUCCCAGGAUUAGUCAUUAAGUUUUUUAAAUGCCUGAUAGAGAGAAUUUAUUGUGUGACCAUCUCUGUUGAAAAUGAAAGCAAAAAGUCAUGUUUACAUAUGUUCAAAUGAUAAUUAUAGGUCAGAUACUAAUAUGAAAAACAAAUAGCCUAUCCUAUUUUUUAAAUCUUUUGGAUUUAAGUCAUAUAAAUGAUAUACAUAAUAAUACUUGUUUCAGUGUAAUGUUAAUGGAGAGUUAAGAGUCUUUAAAUAUCUAGUAGUGUUUUCAGUUUCUUAGCUAGGACAUGUGUCUUCAUUACUGGAUUCACAGGUCAAAGGAUGUAGUGAGAGGACCGACACAUGGACGCUUUGAAAAUUAAAAAAAAAAGUAUAAGUACUUCUACAAGGAAAUCAAAUAUCUUAAUGGCAAAAAUGGUCACACACUUAAAAUAAUGGUUGGUACUUAUAGAGUGUCUUUUCUUUACAUGUGAAUUAUAACCAAAAAAAAAUGGUUGCUUUAUGUUUCAGACAGAAAAUCUUAGAAAUUGAAAUGUUUCAUUUGGCUGCUUUGGUGACAGACCCAGAAAUGAAUGUUGAAGCUGUAUAAGAGCUUGGGACUUUGGCAGGAAUCCUCUCCCUUUCCAUUUUAGGUCAAUCUCUGCCUGUAGAAACGGACUAAACCUUCUCUGGUCCUCCUGGAAUUAUCAGCCUGUGACUUCCAGCCCGUAUGUCCUCUGCCCUGAGUGGUACUUUAACCAGAAUCAUGAAAAAUUCACUAAUGAAAGCAAAUAAAAGGGCGUGGGUAUUUUAUUUCAAUCCUUUUGACCCUGAAAACUAUCCAGUGGAUUUCUGCCCUGGGUUCAUGCAGGGGUAUAGGAAAGUAACUCUCUGGCUAGACCUUAAACUCCAUGUGGGGACACGUGGUCUAACUUCCUUGCUUUCCCUGUCUCACUACCAUAUUUCCCUGUGUGCUCCCAGAAGCUGCUCAACAGUUAGAGCUGACAGACUUGAAUUCUACCCUGAGGCUUAAGAAGUCAUCUCUGGGCAACUCUGCUGUCACAUGGCUAUUUCAGAGCCAUGGCUAUUUCAGAAAGGGACAAAGGAAAGCCCUCCUUUGCCACGUGCGUUGUUCCAGGGUGAGAAGGCUAGAGGACAUGGAAAGGAUGCUUUGCUCUUUAAGUGCCUGCCUUUCAGCACAAAGCAAACUGCUGCUCUUUUCUUUAUAAUCCACUUUAGUAAAGAUACAUAAUAGACAUUUUAUAUAAUGCAUGUAAAAAUUCAGAAAACCGAAAAGUUCUCUGACAGUAACACCUUGCAACUUGAUGCUAGAGGAAAUAUCCUUGUAAGAUGAACAUGGUGCCUUUUGUAGAAAUUGCUCCUUCAUUCCCAAAGUUUAACUGGCAGGCGUAGCAUUUCAUUCCAUCUCAUAUAGUGACUGAUUGCUCGGGGCAUCAUAGUCCUUUAAAAGUCAUGCCUUUACUGCUUUUCAGUAAUUGCAUUCUGUGUGUGCAAUGAUCUGAAAGCUAUUUGAGGGAAAAGAGCAUAAUAUUACAUAUAUGUUAGAAAAAGGUGCCAAACCUCUGCCUCAUUUCCUGAUAUUUGAUGACUCCAAUGGUGCUGAUUGAAAAACAGCAUGGCCACAUUGCUAAUUUGUAUUACUCUGGUUUGCAAUUUAUACAUACUUUUAUUUAAAAAGAAAAAAUAAACCCAUUUGAGUCUUUCAUUCAUGGUUAAUUAGGUGAUUGAAAGGGUCAAUCGAUGAUUUACCAAAUAAAUUUCUAAACCACUGCAGUGUUACUUGCAAAGCAUCCAGCAGUCAAUAAAUGAAUUAAAGGAGAAAAUAUUUAAUGCUGAACAGAGCAUACAUUAAAAUAUAAUAAUCCAGGAAAAUGCUCCUUAUACAUGAGGAGCAAACUGGCGGUUUAUUAGAGCCAAGGUUAAAAGUCCAUAGGGAGAAUAGCAGGAGAAGAAUGUAGAGGCCAUACCAAUAGGAGUACAGUUCCAAUUAAUUUAUUGACAUAAUUAGCACAUGGUUGUUAAUAACAUUGCAGAAGCAGUUGGCAAGUAUGUGUACACAUGCGCCAUUUGAAUGAAUUCAAAAGAACCCUGUACUUAUCAUAAUUAAAUUAUUAGUUCUGGGAAAGCAACGCAGACUAUAGAGGCCAUAGCAGCAGGCCAAAAGUCAUGCAUCCAAUUUAUUUUGUCACUAAAAUAAAAUGUCUGGAAUUUUUAUAUCUUAUCAAGCUGAAUCUAUAGAGCGGAAAUUAUUACGACUAUCAGGAUUGAGUGGUCCACUUGUAACUUCAGCAUUUGUGAAACCAAGGGCCCGAUCACCUCACGGUUUAUAAAAAAGAAGCAGGGAAACAUAAAAAUAAAAUUUUUUGAAUGAAAUAAGUCUCUUGGCCAAGCAAAUUCUCCACUUUGAUAUCUUUGCUCCUGGAUAAACAUGUAAAAAGGAGAGCUAAAAGAAUGAAGUUUCAGAUUUUCUAAUGACUACACAGAAUUCAAUGCAUAGUACAGAGAAUAAUCCUGAUUAUAGUUAAAAUUAUAGAUUUUUUUAAAACUUUCUCACCUUUUUCCUUAAUUAUGUCUUUAAUGCUAUUUGCUUUAAUCCUGCACUGCUUUUGUUCACCUGGAGAGAAGGAUGCAGACUUUAAUCACGUGGAUUUCAUCCUAGCGGAGCUGUUGUGUAUUGGACUUGCUAAAGUCAAUGAAACUUAUGAAAAAACUGAAGGAAAGAUGAAGUUAAUUGUCCAAGUUAAAACAGCUGAAAAUGUAAUUGAUAUAACAUCAGUGAGACUUUGCUGGCAAAAUUGAUUCAAAUCAAACCAGAAAAAUUCAGCCUCAAGAACUGAAAAUGAGCUAAAAGAUGGUAAGCAAAGAAUAAUAAUAUGUGGCAAUGUCUUCAAAUUACUCAUAUUGUAGGCUUUAUACAUUUUGAAGUUGCAAAAAUGUGUUUAACAAGGGUGGACUUUUUUUUAAAAUGUAACAUCUUCAUUAAUGAUCGGGAAACAGCACAAAGCACAAUAAUAUCUUUUUCAGUGUUGUUAAAUUGGAAGGCGUUAAAA